AUUGAACGCUGGCGGCAUGCUUUACACAUGCAAGUCGAACGGUAACAGGCCGCAAGGUGCUGACGAGUGGCGAACGGGUGAGUAAUACAUCGGAACGUACCCAGUAGUGGGGGAUAACGCACCGAAAGGUGCGCUAAUACCGCAUACGACCUACGGGUGAAAGCGGGGGACCGUAAGGCCUCGUGCUAUUGGACCGGCCGAUGUCUGAUUAGCUAGUUGGCGGGGUAAAAGCCCACCAAGGCGACGAUCAGUAGCUGGUCUGAGAGGACGAUCAGCCACACUGGGACUGAGACACGGCCCAGACUCCUACGGGAGGCAGCAGUGGGGAAUUUUGGACAAUGGGGGCAACCCUGAUCCAGCAAUGCCGCGUGUGCGAAGAAGGCCUUCGGGUUGUAAAGCACUUUUGUCAGGGAAGAAAUCUUUCAGGCUAAUACCCUUGGAAGGAUGACGGUACCUGAAGAAUAAGCACCGGCUAACUACGUGCCAGCCGCCGCGGUAA
rnacentral:rRNA from 1 species